AUAGAUACAAUAUAGAACAUAGAUAUGCACAGAGCUUUCCAGAGAUGACCAGUGGUCUGACUUCUUAAAGAUGGGUAGGAAUGAGCAAGAUAGAAGGGACUGGAAGGACAUUCCAAGGAAAGGAAACAACACAAGCAAAGGUGCAGAAGUGAGAAUUAAGAAGAGUGAGCUUGAGGGCAUUUGGUGUUCCUGGAAUGUGAGAGAAGGAGGGAACAGCAAGAGUGAGACUGAACAAGUAGACAGAGUUCAGGCCUGCAAGGCCUUGGAUGCCCCUCCCCCGUCACACCCCAUGUCAAGGAGCUUGGACACCAUCCUGUAGUCAGUGGGCACUAUUGAAAGUUUUCACACCAGUGACAUUUCAGGUUUAUGGUCUGGGAAAAUCACUGUGGUAGCCAGCGCAAAGGCUAGAUUUGUAAAUUGAUGGUCUCUAGGUAGAGAAACCAAGUACAAGACUAGGGUCAUGGUCCAGGUAAGAUAGGGUGAGGCCCGAUCUGGAGCAAUGACAGUGGGGAUGGACAGAACCUGAAACCUUUAAAAAGUAAAGUCAGAAAUGAAUGAUGAUUGUUUGCCGUUGGGGUGAGAGAGAGGGAUGAGUCAUGGGUAAGUCCCAUUUGUCUUGGGUGGGGCCUUCGGUGGAUGGUACGGAAGCGCUUGGUGUGGGGAACACAACAUUGGGGCAAGUUUGAGGGAGGCAACCAUGGACUCAGUUUCAGCUUGUGUGGAGGGGCCAAGGGAACAGCCUGAUGGAGCCCAGCAGGCAGCUGGAUCCCAAAGCCUGAGGCUCAGGAAGAGAUUGGACUAGAGGGCCAACCCAGGGAUGGGGUACUCUCCAGGGUGAGAGUGUAGGGAGAGAAUGGGAGAGGAUCCAGGGCAGAAUCGUGAGUUACAGCGACAUUUGAGAGGCCGACUAGGUGUGGGUGGGUGACAAAGCAGAGAGAGAAGGAAGGACCUGAGAGAUGAGACAAACAGCUAGGAGAGUGGGUUGCCAUGGCAACCAAGGUAGUGAAGCGUUUCAAGGAGAAAGUAAUCAACACUGCUAUAUGGCCGGAAUCUCACAAAAAUAAGAAACAAAAGGGCACCAGCAGAGAGGAAGAGGAUGAAAAGAGGAACAAUUUGAGAGCCGGGAUCCAUCCUCUGAGCCUGGCUGAAAGGAGACAAGUGGAUAUGACUGGAGAUGUCUGGAGGGAGGAGGGUGAGACACAGAAAAGACUCUCUUGUGAUGCCCUUUCCGAACCCGAAAAACUUGGAGGUUUACAAGUGGCGAUGGCUUCCAAGUGUUGCUUGUCCAUAGGUCUUUUAUCAUCUCUGGAACCCUUAGCUCUGCGACACUCUGUGAAUAACCCUUUCAUUAAAUUCGUUUCAGUUAAACCCUUUUGAGUGCACCACCCUCUUACCUGCCAGGCCCCUGACUGCAUCGGUGAACUUGGUUCGUAUAACACCAGGAUGGUCACAUGGGAGGGUGCACAGUGCUGAG
rnacentral:lncRNA from 1 species